rnacentral:lncRNA from 1 species
GCUCAGAGAGGUCCUGCAGAUUGUGGGACUAACUCAUUCAUACUUGACCCUUAUUUCCUGGCCUGUCUCCUAUUCUGGCCAGAAAACAAAGAGCUAGAUCAAGAUUCCUAACUGAUAGAAAAGUAUGUCUCAUCCUUGAAUCGAUCUUUCAGGAGACAGAACAAGCACAUGUGCAGGUCCAGGCAGCCAAGCACACUCUUCUACUUGGGGCAGAAGAAGGGUCUUAACAGUCUUGUUCACAAGGCUGAAAUCGAGCGCUACUUCAGUGAAGUACAAGAUUCAAAUUCUUUCUGGCAGAGUGGAGUAUUGUGGGAAAAAGGAGAGGUCAAAGACAUCCUAUGCCUGCUGGAUGGCCAGGCUGAAGGCAAACUAAUCUCACUAGAAUAUGGAACAGAGGCAAACAUAAAAAUACCCAUGACUUCUGUGCAUUCUGGUCCACUCAGAAGUGGGAGGAACAUGGAGAGAGUCUCCUUCUACCUUGGAUUUUCCAUUGAGGGCCCUCUGGCAUAUGGCAUAAAAGUAAUAUGAGGAGGUAUAUUAGUUCAACAAUGUUAUUUUGCAUCUCUCAUUGUACUUACUCUUCCUAGCCCAUAGAAUUUGCAUGGCAUUAUUGGCUUAAUUAUAAUCACACAGUUUGCUUCUUUUUCUCUGAAUCGGUCUGGAAAACUUUGUAAGACAGGGAAUAUAUCCACACCACAAGCUUGACCACAGUAGCAACAGUCAUUCCAUAUCCUCAUUAUGCACUCCCAAGUAGAGAUAUUUGGUUAAGACAUUUCAGUUGGUCCCAGAGUAACUCUCUAACUGGUCAAUAAAAAUCCGUUGUAAAUU